AACCAGAAAGCCACGGCUAACUACGUGCCAGCAGCCGCGGUAAUACGUAGGUGGCAAGCGUUGUCCGGAAUUAUUGGGCGUAAAGGGCUCGCAGGCGGUUUCUUAAGUCUGAUGUGAAAGCCCCCGGCUCAACCGGGGAGGGUCAUUGGAAACUGGGGAACUUGAGUGCAGAAGAGGAGAGUGGAAUUCCACGUGUAGCGGUGAAAUGCGUAGAGAUGUGGAGGAACACCAGUGGCGAAGGCGACUCUCUGGUCUGUAACUGACGCUGAGGAGCGAAAGCGUGGGGAGCGAACAGGAUUAGAUACCCUGGUAGUCCACGCCGUAAACGAUGAGUGCUAAGUGUUAGGGGGUUUCCGCCCCUUAGUGCUGCAGCUAACGCAUUAAGCACUCCGCCUGGGGAGUACGGUCGCAAGACUGAAACUCAAAGGAAUUGACGGGGGCCCGCACAAGCGGUGGAGCAUGUGGUUUAAUUCGAAGCAACGCGAAGAACCUUACCAGGUCUUGACAUCCUCUGACAAUCCUAGAGAUAGGACGUCCCCUUCGGGGGCAGAGUGACAGGUGGUGCAUGGUUGUCGUCAGCUCGUGUCGUGAGAUGUUGGGUUAAGUCCCGCAACGAGCGCAACCCUUGAUCUUAGUUGCCAGCAUUCAGUUGGGCACUCUAAGGUGACUGCCGGUGACAAACCGGAGGAAGGUGGGGAUGACGUCAAAUCAUCAUGCCCCUUAUGACCUGGGCUACACACGUGCUACAAUGGACAGAACAAAGGGCAGCGAAACCGCGAGGUUAAGCCAAUCCCACAAAUCUGUUCUCAGUUCGGAUCGCAGUCUGCAACUCGACUGCGUGAAGCUGGAAUCGCUAGUAAUCGCGGAUCAGCCAUGCC
rnacentral:rRNA from 1 species